rnacentral:rRNA from 2 species
UCUGGUAACCAUAGCCAAGAGGUCACACCUGUUCCCAUGCCGAACACAGAAGUUAAGCUCUUGAACGCCGAUGGUAGUUGGGAUUUUGUCCCUGUGAGAGUAGGACGUUGCCAGGC